AUUGAACGCUGGCGGCAUGCUUUACACAUGCAAGUCGAACGGCAGCACGGACUUCGGUCUGGUGGCGAGUGGCGAACGGGUGAGUAAUACAUCGGAACGUGCCCAGUUGUGGGGGAUAACUACUCGGAGGAGUAGCUAAUACCGCAUGAGAACUGAGGUUGAAAGCAGGGGAUCGUAAGACCUUGCGCAACUGGAGCGGCCGAUGGCAGAUUAGGGAGGUGGUGGGAUAAAAGCUUACCAAGCCGACGAUCUGUAGCUGGUCUGAGAGGACGACCAGCCACACUGGGACUGAGACACGGCCCAGACUCCUACGGGAGGCAGCAGUGGGGAAUUUUGGACAAUGGGCGAAAGCCUGAUCCAGCAAUGCCGCGUGCAGGAUGAAGGCCUUCGGGUUGUAAACUGCUUUUGUACGGAACGAAAAGCUUCGGGUUAAUACCCUGGAGUCAUGACGGUACCGUAAGAAUAAGCACCGGCUAACUACGUGCCAGCAGCCGCCGUAA
rnacentral:rRNA from 1 species